GCCCCGAUGCUCUUCCACUUCAAGGCGAGAUUGUGAAAACGCAUUGGGAGCUCGAGAAAGUUCUGUCACAGGAAGUCGGUUGUAAAGUGCUCCAGAUUAUGUGAUUGAGCAGCGAGGGAAAUAAAAUGUGAUGAGGCAUAUAGCUCAGGAGUCUCGUGUGCAUUUAGUGUACAGAAGAACUUGUGGCUGUGUCUGUGACGCUGAAGAGGCAUUCAACUACUGGGAACGUAGAUAAGCGCCUUCGUUGAUUUCCCAGUGACUCGUUUAGGAUUUUCUCUGUGCUUCAAGACCCCCAUCGCGGUGGGUAAACGAAGUCCUUGCACGAAGGCAUCACUGACGUCAUCGACACAGAGUCCUUGACACCCUCAUCCAGCAUGACGGGACCAUUGCUAUCACUUUUAUUCCUGCUCAUACUCACCGCCAUCUACGCGUGGCAAGACAAUGACAUUUCUCCCAUCUACGACUCCAGUCCAACCUUCCCGCCGCGUUUCACCAACGUCCGAAAGAUGGAGCAGCAAUCUUUCAACGCCCGUCCUUCCGGAACUUCCAUCAAACUGAAAUGUCCCGCCACGGGUUACCCUCGACCCGUGAUUGUUUGGCUCAAAGACGGGCAACCGUUCACCUCAAGGCCUCUGGGAACCCCUCCGAAACUUCGAGAAUACUCAUUGUCGAUGGGUGAGCUGAGCAUCAACGACACCGGUCGUUACACUUGCAUCCUGUACAACAGGUACGGCUCGAUUAACUGGACUUUCCUGGUCGAAGUGCAAGAGAGACUUCCCGGCGGGCCAGCGGUCGUUGCCGUCACCGGGAACCAGACAGUAUUCGAAGGCGACACGGUAACGUUGGAAUGCGAAAUUGUGAGUGACCUAACUCCGUUUGUGAGGUGGCUGAAACACUACAAAGUGAACGGAUCAGACGUGGACAGUUCUGGAGCGCCAUACGCAUGGAUCGUGCAAGAUUCGGGAGACCCAGCCGUUACAAAUCCGACUGUCCUGUCGUUACCGAGUGUUACUGUCGGGGACAGUGGACAGUACACGUGUCUUGUUGGGACCAUUUCUGGUGCCUCGCAUCGCAGCACGUGGCUUGAGGUCUUGCGAACCGGGUGACGGGAACCGCUCUGAUACUGGACGAAGGACUGGCUAUACACUUGAUCAUCCGGAAUGUCCCUGAGGAUGUUCUGUUGAAGCACUAAGCAAUAAAAUUUAUUGCGCGAGAACUAUUGUGUUG